AGAGUUUGAUCCUGGCUCAGGAUGAACGCUAGCGGCAGGCUUAAUACAUGCAAGUCGAGGGGCAGCAGGUUUUGUAGCAAUACAGAUGCUGGCGACCGGCAAACGGGUGAGGAACACGUACGCAACUUUCCUUCAAGUGGGGGAUAGCCCAGGGAAACUUGGAUUAACACCCCAUAAUAUUACGAAGCGGCAUCGUUUUGUAAUUAAAGCUCCGGCGCUUGAAGAUGGGCGUGCGCCUGAUUAGGUAGUUGGCGGGGUAACGGCCCACCAAGCCUACGAUCAGUAACUGGUGUGAGAGCACGACCAGUCACACGGGCACUGAGACACGGGCCCGACUCCUACGGGAGGCAGCAGUAAGGAAUAUUGGGCAAUGGACGAAAGUCUGACCCAGCCAUGCCGCGUGGAGGAUGAAGGUCCUCUGGAUUGUAAACUUCUUUUAUCUGGGAAGAAAUCUACGGUUUCCACUGUAGUUGACGGUACCAGAUGAAUAAGCACCGGCUAACUCCGUGCCAGCAGCCGCGG
rnacentral:rRNA from 1 species